rnacentral:rRNA from 1 species
AUGCAGCAACCUGAUGAACGCCCUCAAGAUUUGGAGGGUGAGAUGCUACAUCAGUUCAACUUCAAGCUACCUUGCUUCUUUGACAAUUACAGCAAGGAAGUAGGAGGAAGAAGAAAUGCAGGCGACCUCAUGAAAGCCAACAACAAAGAUCCACAUGUGAGCAAUCUUGGUUCCUCUGCUUCUGCACUACAUAUAUAUUUAUUUUCUAGAUAUCUUUUCUUUUUUGCAAUUUCUGUUGUUUUGCUUACUACAAGUAACAUGGAGAUGUCAUAUGAUAUUGUUCAGUUUGCGAAAUGUAGAAGUGAGAGGAGGAACCAUGAAUUUUUAACGAGCAUUAGUUUGUGGCUCACGGAUGAAGAUUGCAAGUACUACUUUGUAACAGUUCCAAAUAGCUGA